GAAGGCGCUCUACUGGGCCGUAACUGACGCUGAGGGACGAAAGCUAGGGGAGCGAAAGGGAUUAGAUACCCCUGUAGUCCUAGCUGUAAACGAUGGAUACUAGGUGUUGGACGUAUCGACCCGUUCAGUACCGCAGCCAACGCGAUAAGUAUCCCGCCUGGGGAGUACGCACGCAAGUGUGAAACUCAAAGGAAUUGACGGGGGCCCGCACAAGCGGUGGAGUAUGUGGUUUAAUUCGAUGCAACGCGAAGAACCUUACCAGGGCUUGACAUCCCGCGAACCUUGAUGAAAGUCGAGGGUGCCUUCGGGAGCGCGGAGACAGGUGGUGCAUGGCUGUCGUCAGCUCGUGUCGUGAGAUGUUGGGUUAAGUCCCGCAACGAGCGCAACCCACGUCCUUAGUUGCCAUCAUUAAGUUGGGCACUCUGGGGAGACUGCCGGGGACAACUCGGAGGAAGGUGUGGAUGACGUCAAGUCAUCAUGCCCCUUACGUUCUGGGCUACACACGUACUACAAUGCUUCGGACAAAGGGCAGCCAACUAGCGAUAGUGAGCUAAUCCCAUAAACCGAGGCACAGUUCAGAUUGCAGGCUGCAACUCGCCUGCAUGAAGGAGGAAUCGCUAGUAAUCGCCGGUCAGCAUACGGCGGUGAAUACGUUCCCGGGCCUUGCACACACCGCCCGUC
rnacentral:rRNA from 1 species